rnacentral:rRNA from 1 species
AUUGAACGCUGGCGGCAUGCCUUACACAUGCAAGUCGAACGGUAACGCGGGGCAACCUGGCGACGAGUGGCGAACGGGUGAGUAAUGCAUCGGAACGUGCCCAGUAGUGGGGGAUAGCCCGGCGAAAGCCGGAUUAAUACCGCAUACGACCUACGGGUGAAAGCGGGGGACCGUAAGGCCUCGCGCUAUUGGAGCGGCCGAUGUCAGAUUAGGUAGUUGGUGGGGUAAAGGCCUACCAAGCCUUCGAUCUGUAGCUGGUCUGAGAGGACGACCAGCCACACUGGGACUGAGACACGGCCCAGACUCCUACGGGAGGCAGCAGUGGGGAAUUUUGGACAAUGGGCGCAAGCCUGAUCCAGCCAUGCCGCGUGCGGGAAGAAGGCCUUCGGUUGUAAC